AGAGUGAACGCUGGCGGUAGGCCUAACACAUGCAAGUCGAACGGCAGCACAGUGGUAGCAAUACCAUGGGUGGCGAGUGGCGGACGGGUGAGGAAUACAUCGGAAUCUACCUUUUCGUGGGGGAUAACGUAGGGAAACUUACGCUAAUACCGCAUACGCCCUUUGGGGGAAAGCCGGGGAUCGCAAGACCUGGCGCGGAUAGAUGAGCCGAUGUCGGAUUAGCUAGUUGGUGAGGUAAUGGCUCACCAAGGCGACGAUCCGUAGCUGGUCUGAGAGGAUGAUCAGCCACACUGGAACUGAGACACGGUCCAGACUCCUACGGGAGGCAGCAGGUGGGGAAUAGUUGGACAAGUGGGACGCAAGGCCUGAUCCAAGCCAUACCGGCGUGGGUAGAAGAAGGCCUUCGGUUGUAAAGUCCCUUUUAGUAGGAAAGAAAGCAAAUUCGGUUAA
rnacentral:rRNA from 1 species